rnacentral:rRNA from 1 species
GACGAACGCUGGCGGCGUGCCUAAUACAUGCAAGUAGAACGCCGACGGAGGAGCUUGCUUCUCUGGCUGAGUUGCGAACGGGUGAGUAACGCGUGGGUAACCUGCCUGGUAGCGGGGGAUAACUAUUGGAAACGAUAGCUAAUACCGCAUAAGAGUAGACGUCGCAUGACAUUUGCUUAAAAGUUGCAAUUGCAUCACUACCAGAUGGCCCUGCGUUGUAUUAGCUAGUUGGUGGGGUAACGGCUCACCAAGGCAACGGUACAGAGCCGAGCUGAGAAGGUGAACCGCCACAAUGGGAAUGAGAAAAGGCCCAGGAUUCUACGGGGAGGAGCAGUAGGGGAUCUUCGGCAAUAGAGCGAAGGCUGACCGAACAACGCCGCGGGAGGGAAGGAGGUCUUCGGAGCGGAAAACUCUGUUGUAAGAGAAGAAAGAGUGUGAGGGUAGAAAGUUCACGCUGUGACGGUAUCUAACCAGAAAGGGACGGCUAACUACGUG